AACUGCAAACUCCGGGGCCUGUGUGCUGAGCUGUGUUUGGAAAUCCUAUUCAACACUGUUAUUGCCAUAGGUUAUGCUAUGCAAUGUCUGUGCCUAACCCAAGAACAUUUAGCGCCGGGGGGACCUUGAUAAAAAACAAGCCCCAAGACUUUGAUAUCUGCAAAGGGCCCCCACUUGGAAUGGGUACUGUAAGAGGCCCUACAGAAAAAUAUAUUUGAACUAAAAGAAAAAAAGAAAAGAAAAGAAAAGCAGCCCAGUUGUGCAGACAACUUAUUCCCCCAGCCCAGACCACAAAAGGGAAUGCUAGGGAGGGGUGAGCCAGUCAACCUGCUGACUAUUUUGAUACAAAGAGUUAGGAUGGUAUAAAAACCUCAGGGAGCUUGGAGCCUGUCUCUUUCAAGAGAAACGUUCUUGAAUUGCUGCUGGACUGCAAGAGGAGUGUGAUCUGUUUAGCAUGGAACCAGGAACUUUAAGCUGCAUUUCACCACCAGGCCAAGUACGGUCAAAACAUGAGAGGGUAAACAAGCUCAGAAGAAAAAGGAAAGAGACAGCUGAAAAGAAAAUGUCACCAGUAUCAGUGACUGAUGGAUGGAUGGAUGAAGCCCAGUAAAUAUAUU